GAGCGUUAAAUAAGGAACCCCUCCCCCACCUCACUCGCAGGCAUCCGCGUUGAGACACUAACGUUACUCAUCAGGCCGAAUAUUCUCUUUCUCAGUAAAAGAGCGUUAACUGAGGACCCCUCCACCACCUCUCUCACAGGGGGCUCUACAGAUCAAGCCGAAGCUUCUCUUCUCGGACAGUCAGUUUCGACUUUACCGUUAAGGAGGAGAUGCUUGCUAAAGUGGAGUUCAGAGGAGUACACAAAUAUAUAACAAUACCUCAGACUGAGGAAAGGUUUGACUUCGACAGAUUUCAUCAAGAAAUAACAGAGAAAUUUUGAUUUUCACCUGAAAAUCAGACUGAGGGUCAUUUCACCUUAACUGAUGAAUCCGGAACAGAAGUAGAUGGGGAUGUUUUUGAUGAUCUUGUAAAGUCAGGUGUCCUGAUCUUCAAGGUCUUGAUUGGACACCCAGUAAUAGGCCUACACGUUGAACUGGUCACUGAUGAAUCUUCUUCAUCGGUUGUGCCCAACAUUUCGUCUCCACCGCUUGCACAAUGUUCUUCUUCAUGGCUUGUGCCCAACAUUUUGUGAGGGUGAAAACUGUUUGCAAUAUAGAAGGUGGUGAAAUUCUUCAACGAACUCUAAAGUUGGACUCAUUUUCAGAAGUGUCAACUACCAGCUGGGUCAAAAGCUAUGGUACAGAAUACCAGAUAAAUCUGUUUGUCUGUACUGGAAUGUGUAAUGAGCUUCCUAUUUUUAAAAAGAUCUGUACUAUUGUCAUUCAUGGACAGAGUGCUUUUUUUAUUGCAUGUGAUGUGUGCACGCUGUACUUUGAUGAACACCUAAAUGCAUACUACAUUGAGGAGUGUACCCACUUUUCUGUCAUAAAUAUGGAUCAACUUAAAUAUUUUAAGCCCUUUGAUAGUGUUUUACUAUGGGGAUGACCGAGAAUUCUUGGUGCCUUACUGUUACAUUUAAAAAAAUGUUGUCUGAAAAUUUAGCUAUUUCUCCAUUUUGUAAUUUUCUUACUGAAAAAAUGUUACAUGUUUUUACAUACUUAAAACUGUUGGCUGAAAUUAGCACAAUUAAAAAAUAUUUGCCC